rnacentral:rRNA from 1 species
CCUACGGGAGGCAGCAGUGGGGAAUAUUGCACAAUGGGGGAAACCCUGAUGCAGCGACGCCGCGUGAGUGAAGACGUAAUUCGGUAUUUAAAGCUCUAUCAGCAGGGAAGAAAAUGACGGUACCUGAGUAAGAAGCGCCGGCAAACUACGUGCCAGCAGCCGCGGUAAUACGUAGGGGGCAAGCGUUAUCCGGAUUUACUGGGUGUAAAGGGAGCGUAGACGGCAGUGCAAGUCUGGAGUGAAAGGCGGGGCACAACCCCCGGACUGCACUGGAAACUGGAUGGCUGGAGUGCAGGAGAGGUAAGUGGAAUUCGUGGUGUAGCGGUGAAAUGCGUAGAUAUUAGGAAGAACACC